rnacentral:lncRNA from 1 species
ACAGAUCAAUAAUCAGGAUAAUGUGCAUCAGGAAGGCGACAAUCCUCAGGCAAACAAUAACACGGACCAGAUGAUGAAUGAUGGAAUGUUCAGAGGCUUUAUGCAAUUCAUGCAACAUCAGGCAAGAGCGGCUCCUGUCCAAAAUGCAGGUGGAAACACUGGCAACUCUCGGACGGUCACCGCUAAGCAGUUUAAGGAACUGGGACCACCGGAGUUUUUUGGAGAGCCAAAACCAAUUAAGGUGGAGACAUGGAUAAAGCAGAUCAACAAGAUAUUU